UACGAAGGGGGCUAGCGUUGCUCGGAAUCACUGGGCGUAAAGGGUGCGUAGGCGGAUUGCUAAGUCAGGGGUGAAAUCCUGGAGCUCAACUCCAGAACUGCCCUUGAUACUGGCGGUCUCGAGUCCGGGAGAGGUGAGUGGAACUGCGAGUGUAGAGGUGAAAUUCGUAGAUAUUCGCAAGAACACCAGUGGCGAAGGCGGCUCACUGGCCCGGUACUGACGCUGAGGUGCGAAAGCGUGGGGAGCAAACAGG
rnacentral:rRNA from 1 species